rnacentral:rRNA from 1 species
GCAAGUCAGAUGUAAAAUCUCUCGGCUUAACCGGGAGGGAUCAUUUGAUACUGCUAGACUAGAGGGCAGCAGAAGGAAGUAGAAUUCCCGGUGUAGUGGUGAAAUGCGUAGAUAUCGGGAGGAAUACCAGUGGCGAAGGCGGCUUCCUAGGCUGUUUCUGGCGCUGAGGUCCGAAAGCGUGGGUAGCGAACAGGAUUAGAUACCCUGGUAGUCCACGCUGUAAACGUUGGACACUGGGUAUGGGGAGUAUCGACCCUCUCCGUGCCGAAGCUAACGCGUUAAGUGUCCCGCCUGGGGACUACGGCCGCAAGGCUAAAACUCAAAGGAAUU